rnacentral:rRNA from 1 species
ACUCCUACGGGAGGCAGCAGUGAGGAAUAUUGGUCAAUGGAGGGAACUCUGAACCAGCCAUCCCGCGUGUAGGAAGACGGCCUUAUGGGUUGUAAACUACUUUUAUACAGGAAGAAACGUACCCUCGUGAGGGUGCCUGACGGUACUGUAGGAAUAAGCACCGGCUAACUCCGUGCCAGCAGCCGCGGUAAUACGGAGGGUGCGAGCGUUAAUCGGAAUUACUGGGCGUAAAGCGCAUGCAGGUGGUUUGUUAAGUCAGAUGUGAAAGCCCGGGGCUCAACCUCGGAAUUGCAUUUGAAACUGGCAGACUAGAGUACUGUAGAGGGGGUAGAAUUUCAGGUGUAGCGGUGAAAUGCGUAGAGAUCUGAAGGAAUACCGGUGGCGAAGGCGGCCCCCUGGACAGAUACUGACACUCAGAUGCGAAAGCGUGGGGAGCAAACAGGAUUAGAUACCCUGGUAGCUACGAG